UAAUGGUGGUGAGGGCAAUUUCUAAGCAUACCCUUAAAUCUUUCCUAAGCUUAGUAAAAAUUUUCUCCUUCUUUCUGCCUGAAACUUAGAAUCUCACUUCUCAAGCA
rfam:Capsicum annuum cultivar Zunla-1 chromosome 2, whole genome shotgun sequence